rnacentral:SRP_RNA from 1 species
GCCGUGCGCAGUGGCACGUGCCUGUAGUCCCAGCUACUCGGGAGGCUGAGGUGGGAGGAUCGCUUGAGCCCACGAGUUGUGGGCUGUAGUGCACUAUGCUGAUUGGAUGUCCGCACUAAGUUCAGCAUCGAUAUGGUGACCUCCAGGAGCGGGGGACCACCAGGUUGCCUAAGGAGGGGUGAACUGGCCCAGGUCGGAAACGGAACGGGUCAAAACUCCCAUGCUGAUCAGAAGUGGGAUUGUGCCUGUGAAUAGUCACUGCACUCAGCCUGGGCAACAUAGCGAGACCACGUCUCA